GGUUACACAUUUCCUGAGAGUGUCUACAUAUUCAUAGGCAACAUCGAUGUGAAUGUGACAGAUUAGCCCCAGAAAGAAAGCAAUGUGAAAAAGAAACAUAGAUUUGAAGGCAAUCUUGAAGACCACACAGAAAACCAGGCUAUGAAUCAAAGAAGAAAAUCAAAAUCACACUUCAUAACUGCUUCAGUAACCCUGGCAACAGACGCCACGCUGGAUGUUGGCUAAUAACACUAAAAUUUUUGCUGGUGAGGUCUUCAGAAACCGGAUAGGUGUGUAGCCACCAGAACAGAAGUGGAUCGGGCAUGAUAUCUAAUUCUUCAAUUUGUAGUUUUAUAGUCAAAACUGGCAUGUAUAUACUUAAUCUGUAGCACGUAAGUCACAAGCCUCUAUCCCAACUUUAGGAGAGAUUGAGAACUUAAUUUCUGGCUUCUACCUUGGGAAGGAUCAGACUCAUAAGCUGGAAAAUUAGCCAACAUACACAGGAUAUUCAAAGCUUCUAGGCAGUCACAAUAUUGUCAAGUGGUAAAACAGACAUCAAAAAACCUUUUUCUCUCCCCAAGAUUUAAAAAAUUUAACUUCCUUAAUUGUGGCUUUCCAUAAAAUUAAAAGAGUCUUGGGAGAGAGAACACCUCA